rnacentral:rRNA from 1 species
UGCAGUCGACGAAGCCUUCGGGCUUAGUGGCGCACGGGUGCGUAACGCGUGGGAAUCUGCCCUUGGGUUCGGAAUAACAGCGAGAAAUUGCUGCUAAUACCGGAUGAUGACGAAAGUCCAAAGAUUUAUCGCCCAGGGAUGAGCCCGCGUAGGAUUAGCUAGUUGGUGAGGUAAAGGCUCACCAAGGCGACGAUCCUUAGCUGGUCUGAGAGGAUGAUCAGCCACACUGGGACUGAGACACGGCCCAGACUCCUACGGGAGGCAGCAGUGGGGAAUAUUGGACAAUGGGCGCAAGCCUGAUCCAGCAAUGCCGCGUGAGUGAUGAAGGCCUUAGGGUUGUAAAGCUCUUUUACCCGGGAUGAUAAUGACAGUACCGGGAGAAUAAGCUCCGGCUAACUCCGUGCCAGCAGCCGCGGUAAUACGGAGGGAGCUAGCGUUAUUCGGAAUUACUGGGCGUAAAGCGCACGUAGGCGGCUUUGUAAGUUAGAGGUGAAAGCCUGGAGCUCAACUCCAGAAUAGCCUUUAAGACUGCAUCGCUUGAAUCCAGGAGAGGUGAGUGGAAUUCCGAGUGUAGAGGUGAAAUUCGUAGAUAUUCGGAAGAACACCAGUGGCGAAGGCGGCUCACUGGACUGGUAUUGACGCUGAGGUGC